UCACUACUUGCGUAGGCAGUUUUCUUAGAGUCCCCAUCAUUACAUGCUGGCAACUAAGAAUAGGGGUUGCGCUCGUUAUGGGACUUAACCCGACACCUCACGGCACGAGCUGACGACAACCAUGCAGCACCUAGAAGGACGUCCCGAAGGAAAUUCCGCUUUCACGGAAGAUCGUCCCUCUUUCAAGCCCAGGUAAGGUUCCUCGCGUAUCAUCGAAUUAAACCACAUGCUCCACCGCUUGUGCGGGCCCCCGUCAAUUCCUUUGAGUUUCAACCUUGCGGUCGUACUCCCCAGGUGGAUCACUUAAUGCUUUCGCUCAGUCGCUGACUGUGUAUCGCCAACAACGAGUGAUCAUCGUUUACGGCGUGGACUAC
rnacentral:misc_RNA from 1 species